rnacentral:rRNA from 1 species
CGGGUGGUAAUACCGGAUGCUCCGCUCCAUCGCAUGGUGGGGUGGGAAAUGCUUUUGCGGCAUGGGAUGGGGUCGCGUCCUAUCAGCUUGUUGGCGGGGUGAUGGCCCACCAAGGCGUUGACGGGUAGCCGGCCUGAGAGGGUGACCGGCCACAUUGGGACUGAGAUACGGCCCAGACUCCUACGGGAGGCAGCAGUGGGGAAUAUUGCACAAUGGGCGCAAGCCUGAUGCAGCGACGCCGCGUGCGGGAUGGAGGCCUUCGGGUUGUAAACCGCUUUUGUUCAAGGGCAAGGCACGGUUUCGGCCGUGUUGAGUGGAUUGUUCGAAUAAGCACCGGCUAACUACGUGCCAGCAGCCGCGGUAAUACGUAGGGUGCGAGCGUUAUCCGGAUUUAUUGGGCGUAAAGGGCUCGUAGGCGGUUCGUCGCGUCCGGUGUGAAAGUCCAUCGCCUAACGGUGGAUCUGCGCCGGGUACGGGCGGGCUGGAGUGCGGUAGGGGAGACUGGAAUUCCCGGUGUAACGGUGGAAUGUGUAGAUAUC